ACUGUGUGUUGUUGGGUAGGGGAGCGUUCUGUAAGCCUGUGAAGGUGUGUCGUGAGGCAUGCUGGAGGUAUCAGAAGUGCGAAUGCUGACAUAAGUAACGAUAAAGCGGGUGAAAAGCCCGCUCGCCGGAAGACCAAGGGUUCCUGUCCAACGUUAAUCGGGGCAGGGUGAGUCGACCCCUAAGGCGAGGCCGAAAGGCGUAGUCGAUGGGAAACGGGUUAAUAUUCCCGUACUUGGUGUUACUGCGAAGGGGGGACGGAGAAGGCUAUGUUGGCCGGGCGACGGUUGUCCCGGUUUAAGCGUGUAGGUGUGUGUUCCAGGUAAAUCCGGUUCACUUUAACACUGAGGCGUGAUGACGAGGCACUACGGUGCUGAAGCAACAAAUGCCCUGCUUCCAGGAAAAGCCUCUAAGCAUCAGGUAACAUCAAAUCGUACCCCAAACCGACACAGGUGGUCAGGUAGAGAAUACCAAGGCGCUUGAGAGAACUCGGGUGAAGGAACUAGGCAAAAUGGUGCCGUAACUUCGGGAGAAGGCACGCUGACACGUAGGUGAAGUGAUUUACUCAUGGAGCUGAAGUCAGUCGAAGAUACCAGCUGGCUGCAACUGUUUAUUAAAAACACAGCACUGUGCAAACACGAAAGUGGACGUAUACGGUGUGACGCCUGCCCGGUGCCGGAAGGUUAAUUGAUGGGGUCAGCGCAAGCGAAGCUCCUGAUCGAAGCCCCGGUAAACGGCGGCCGUAACUAUAACGGUCCUAAGGUAGCGAAAUUCCUUGUCGGGUAAGUUCCGACCUGCACGAAUGGCGUAAUGAUGGCCAGGCUGUCUCCACCCGAGACUCAGUGAAAUUGAACUCGCUGUGAAGAUGCAGUGUACCCGCGGCAAGACGGAAAGACCCCGUGAACCUUUACUAUAGCUUGACACUGAACAUUGAGCCUUGAUGUGUAGGAUAGGUGGGAGGCUUUGAAGUGUGGACGCCAGUCUGCAUGGAGCCGACCUUGAAAUACCACCCUUUAAUGUUUGAUGUUCUAACGUGGACCCGUGAUCCGGGUUGCGGACAGUGUCUGGUGGGUAGUUUGACUGGGGCGGUCUCCUCCUAAAGAGUAACGGAGGAGCACGAAGGUUGGCUAAUCCUGGUCGGACAUCAGGAGGUUAGUGCAAUGGCAUAAGCCAGCUUGACUGCGAGCGUGACGGCGCGAGCAGGUGCGAAAGCAGGUCAUAGUGAUCCGGUGGUUCUGAAUGGAAGGGCCAUCGCUCAACGGAUAAAAGGUACUCCGGGGAUAACAGGCUGAUACCGCCCAAGAGUUCAUAUCGACGGCGGUGUUUGGCACCUCGAUGUCGGCUCAUCACAUCCUGGGGCUGAAGUAGGUCCCAAGGGUAUGGCUGUUCGCCAUUUAAAGUGGUACGCGAGCUGGGUUUAGAACGUCGUGAGACAGUUCGGUCCCUAUCUGCCGUGGGCGCUGGAGAACUGAGGGGGGCUGCUCCUAGUACGAGAGGACCGGAGUGGACGCAUCACUGGUGUUCGGGUUGUCAUGCCAAUGGCACUGCCCGGUAGCUAAAUGCGGAAGAGAUAAGUGCUGAAAGCAUCUAAGCACGAAACUUGCCCCGAGAUGAGUUCUCCCUGAGACUUAGAGUCUCCUGAAGGAACGUUGAAGACGACGACGUUGAUAGGCCGGGUGUGUAAGCGCAGCGAUGCGUUGAGCUAACCGGUACUAAUGAACCGUGAGGCUUAACCUUACAACGCCGAAG
rnacentral:rRNA from 1 species